GGAGGACAUUGUCAGGUGGG
rnacentral:siRNA from 1 species